CAAGAUUCACGGAUUCUUUACAUACGCUUCUGCUAUUGUUUUAUAACCAAGAUAGAUGCGCCAAUUGAAACAGCAGAGAUGAUAUAAGGUUUCCCUCCAUUAACAUUCUUCUCCCUUGUUUUCUGUUCUGGUUCGUUUUUUUGCCCGCUAUAGUUAUGAUUUUGUUUUGCAUUAAACUUAUUAGACAUAUCAUAGGAAGACCUGUACAUUAUACAAUAUGGCAUCCUGCUGCCCAAGUGAAACCUCAUGCAUUUUACCAUCAUAGAGAGAAGACCCACCUGACAAGACCAAAGGGCCAAUUUUUAUCUAGGAGCUGCAUCAAAAACCAAAUGUCGAUGUGGUCAUGACUCAUGAAAAGGGGCUGCGUUGGUGCAAAGGCUGGCUAUGGGUUCACACAUCAAGGAAUUGUGGCAGUGAGAAGUGGCUAUGAUGGAGGUGAGAUUGAAGGAGGUGGAGGCCAGAAAGCCACUGGCAAAAUGCUCUCAUGAUGAGGAUAUGUGAGCAUUGGCCUGUUUUUCCGUUUUGGGGGGUUAUUUUACUAAUUAUAAUGUUGGAUAUGAGACGAUCAAAAUUUCAAAAACAGUUGUGGGCCAUGAUGAAUGUCUACAAGGAUUGUUGGUUUCUUUUUU